UACGUAGGAUGCAAGCGUUGUCCGGAAUUAUUGGGCGUAAAGCGAACGUAGGCGGCCAUCUAAGUUUGGUCUUAAAGACCGGGGCUCAACCCCGGGAAUGGACUGAAUACUGGGUGGCUGGAGCGUGUUAGAGGAAAGUGGAAUUCCAGGUGUAGCGGUGAAAUGCGUAGAUAUCUGGAGGAACACCGGUGGCGAAAGCGACUUUCUGGGACAUUGCUGACGCUGAGGUUCGAAAGCUCGGGGAGCAAACAGG
rnacentral:rRNA from 1 species